GAUGAACGCUAGCUACAGGCUUAACACAUGCAAGUCGAGGGGCAGCACGGUGUAGCAAUACACGGGUGGCGACCGGCGCACGGGUGCGUAACGCGUAUCCAACUUUCCCGUUACUCUCGGAUAGCCUUCCGAAAGGGAGAUUAAUACGAGAUGGUGUUCAGUUUCCGCAUGUUUACUGAACUAAAGAUUCAUCGGUAACGGAUAGGGAUGCGUGACAUUAGAUAGUUGGCGGGGUAACGGCCCACCAAGUCAACGAUGUCUAGGGGUUCUGAGAGGAAGGUCCCCCACACUGGAACUGAGACACGGUCCAGACUCCUACGGGAGGCAGCAGUGAGGAAUAUUGGUCAAUGGGCGCAGGCCUGAACCAGCCAAGUAGCGUGAAGGAUGAAGGUUCUAUGGAUUGUAAACUUCUUUUAUACGGGAAUAACAUCACCUACGUGUAGGUGCCUGCAUGUACCGUAUGAAUAAGCAUCGGCUAACUCCGUGCCAGCCGCCGCAGUAAUAC
rnacentral:rRNA from 1 species